GCCUCAGUAGCUCAGUUGGUAGAGCGGCGGUCUUGUAAACCGUAGGUCGGGGGUUCGGAUCCCCCCUGAGGCU
rnacentral:tRNA from 1 species